rnacentral:rRNA from 1 species
UACCUGCAGCUCAAGUGGUGACCACUAUUAUUGGGCCUAAAACGUUCGUAGCCGGUUUAUUAAAUGCUUGGGUAAAUCGUGUAGCUUAACUAUACGAAUUCCGGGUAGACUGAUAGACUUGAGACCGGGAGAAGCUAGAGGUACUCCUGGGGUAGAGGUGAAAUUCUGUAAUCCUGGGGGGACCACCAGUGGCGAAGGCGUCUAGCUAGAACGGGUCUGACGGUGAGGAACGAAGCCCUGGGGCGCAAACCGGAUUAGAUACCCGGGUAGUCCAGGGUGUAAACGCUGCUUGCUUGAUGUUAGUUGGGCUCCGAGCCCAAUUAGUGUCGGAGAGAAGUUGUUAAGCAAGCUGCCUGGGAAGUACGAUCGCAAGAUUGAAACUUAAAGGAAUUGGCGGGGGAGCACAGCAACGGGUGGAGCGUGCGGUUU